AAUUAUCGACGCUGAGGCUCGAAAGCGCGGAUAAGCAAAACAGGAUAAGAAUACCCUGGUAGUCCGCGCCCGUAAACGAUGCAUACUGGGUGUCCGGAGUUCGCCCCGGGUACCGCAGCCAACGCGUUAAGUAUGCCGCCUGGGGAGUACGUACGCAAGUAUGAAACUCAAAGGAAUUGACGGGGGCCCGCACAAGCGGUGGAGCAUGUGGUUUAAUUCGAAGCAACGCGCAGAACCUUACCAGGGUUUGACAUGGAAUCGCCGCGGCGAGAGAUCGCCGUAUUGCAGCAAUGCAACGGUUCACACAGGUGCUGCAUGGCUGUCGUCAGCUAGUGUCGUGAGAUGUUGGGUUAAGUCCCGCAACGAGCGCAACCCACGUUUCCAGUUGCCACCCGCAAGGGGGCUCUCUGGAGAGACUGCCGGGGACAACCCGGAGGAAGGUGUGGAUGACGUCAAGUCCUCAUGGCCCUUACAUCCUGGGCCACACACGUGCUACAAUGGACGGUACAAUGGGUAGCGGGGUCGCGAGACCGAGCCAAUCCUCAAAGCCGUCCUCAGUUCGGAUCGGAGUCUCAACUCGCUCCGGAAGCGGAAUCGCUA
rnacentral:rRNA from 1 species